rnacentral:pre_miRNA from 1 species
GUAUAUAGCAGUCAGGAACGGCCGAGUGUGGUGUAUUGUACUCGUAGAAAUAACAGUAUUGCACCUGUCCCGGCCGAUCUUGGGUGCGCCU